AAUAGAUACCCGGGUAGUCCACGCCGUAAACGGUGAGUGCUAAGUGUUAGAGGGUUUCCGCCCUUUAGUGCUGCAGCAAACGCAUUAAGCACUCCGCCUGGGGAGUACGGUCGCAAGACUGAAACUCAAAGGAAUUGACGGGGGCCCGCACAAGCGGUGGAGCAUGUGGUUUAAUUCGAAGCAACGCGAAGAACCUUACCAGGUCUUGACAUCCUCUGACAACCCUAGAGAUAGGGCUUCCCCUUCGGGGGCAGAGUGACAGGUGGUGCAUGGUUGUCGUCAGCUCGUGUCGUGAGAUGUUGGGUUAAGUCCCGCAACGAGCGCAACCCUUGAUCUUAGUUGCCAGCAUUCAGUUGGGCACUCUAAGGUGACUGCCGGUGACAAACCGGAGGAAGGUGGGGAUGACGUCAAAUCAUCAUGCCCCUUAUGACCUGGGCUACACACGUGCUACAAUGGGCAGAACAAAGGGCAGCGAAGCCGCGAGGCUAAGCCAAUCCCACAAAUCUGUUCUCAGUUCGGAUCGC
rnacentral:rRNA from 1 species